rnacentral:lncRNA from 1 species
GUCAGGAAACAGCCUGUCACACGAAGUGUGUCUCAAGCUCAUUGAUCUUUUCAGGGCCUGGCGGGUCUUCAACAUCACCGUGCUUGUUCCGCCUACUUCGCCCGCACUGGGACCAUGUUCCAGAAUGUGCAGGGCAGAGGUCACUUCCAAAGGAUGCCUUCUCCCUGCGUGAGGCUCAGAGUGUGUCCGAGGAGACGGGAUGCUCAGGUGAGCGGAGCCUGAAGAACACGGCACCGAAGGGCAGCCCCUGCCCUAGACCAGACCCCGCAGCGGAAGGGAAGGUGCUACGUGGGACGGGACAUACGGGCGAAGGAGACCCCAUGUCAGAGCGACGCUCACGGAGGCUGCGAGCUGGCAGGUCCACCUGAGAAGCGCUCCGGCCCCGGGAAGCACCCGCGGAAGUACCUGGGGACCAAGAGCCAGGGUGGGUUCAGCGUCCUCCCAA